UCCUGAAGUUUUAGGGGAAAACUGCCCAAACAACCUAUUAUCUCAUUAAUAGGAGUCCUUCUACUACUUUAGGCUUAAAGACUCCUCAAGAGAUAUGGACAGGAAAAGCUCCAAGUUUGGAUCAUCUCAAAGUGUUUGGAUGUUCAACCUAUGCUCAUGUUAAGGAAGGAAAGUUGAAUAAGAGGGCACUGAAAUGUAUGUUUAUUUUCUAUCCUUAGGAUGUUAAAGGAAAGCUUUGGUGCUUAGAAGAGGUAGAAGUAAAUGUAUCAUUAGUAGAUAUGUGACUUUUAAUGAAACAGACAUAUCGUUUUAUGACAGAGAGCAACAGAAACAACAAACAGUUGAUCAGGCUGAGGCAAAUGUUAUAAUUGAUUCUAAUGCAGGAUCAUUAGUAGAAUCAGGUGAAUCCAAUGAUCCAACACUACUGGUUUCACAAACAGCAUCUGUACAAACAUUCAGUUCUGAUGGUGGAUAGCCUUAACUAUAGAGAACUUUAAUUGAUGAAGGAGCUUUCGGUGAAGAAAGUUUAAGUAGCAAUGACCUAUAGAACUAUCAACUUGUAUGUGACAGGCCUCAGAUGGUGAGACAAGCUCCUACGAGGUAUGGUUAUGCUAAUUUAGUUGCUUAUGCUCUUACUUGUGCAGCUGACAGUAUUGAAGCAGAGCCUCUUACUUUUGAGGAGGCAAUUGUAUCUGAUUCGAAAGAACAAUGGAAGGAUGUUAUGGAAGCUAAGUUGUUCUCGUUGUAGAAGAAUCAGACAUAGUCAUUGGUUCUAAGGCCUCCUAAUCAGAAACUCAUUCAAUAAAAGUGGAUUUAUAAAAUCAAGCCAGGUACAUGAGGUGACAGUAAGCCUAAAUAUAAGGCUAGGUUGGUGGCCAAGGGUUACACUUAGAAGGAGGGAGUUGACUUUCAUGAGAUUUUCUCUCCGAUGAUGGACGUCCCCACAACAUUUCUUCAUGGAGAAUUGGAGGAAGUGAUCUACAUGGCUCAACCUAAAAGUAUGAGGUGAAGGGAAAGGAAGACAUGAUAUAUCAUCUUCACAAGUCCAUCUAUGGACUGAAGCAAUCGCCGAGACAGUGGUAUAUUAGGUUUGAUACUUUUAUUCUGAAGCAGUUGUUUCACAGGAGCUCAUAUGAUUCCUGCGUGUACUGGAAAAUAUCUCAGAAAGUGACUUUCCUUUGGUUGUGAUCCCAGCAGUAAAUGGUUUUGGAAAAUUGUUGAAGUCUUCAAAUGAAGGAGUAUCCAGGGUGCCCAUCUUGACUAGUGGAUUCCUACCAAUGUUUAAUAUUUCUGUUAAAGCUAACCAAAUACAGGUUCAUUAUGUUAAAACGAUAAGGCUAGGACCCUAUCUUAAUUGGGAUGUUUCUAAUACCACCAGAUAGUUAUCAUAUGUGAUCGAAAAGAACAAUCUGCAAUAAUGAGCUGUAAAUUUGUUCUCCUGAAUAGUGUAUAAGAAGCGGUCAAGUCUAGAAAGAAUAGGUUGAUUUCAAAGGCUAGACCACGUGAAGUUUCCAUUUACCGGGGAGGAGGUGGGUUAAUAAGACCAAGUUUUUGUAUGAAUGAAUUGAAUUUUUUUCAUGUUGUGUUUGGCAGGAUUAGAAGCAGAGGUCUCACUAUUCAUUUUGACAAAAUUGAAAUCUCCCUUAAUAUGUCAAUU